rnacentral:rRNA from 1 species
UGGGGAAUAUUGCACAAUGGGCGCAAGCCUGAUGCAGCCAUGCCGCGUGUGUGAAGAAGGCCUUCGGGUUGUAAAGCACUUUCAGCGAGGAGGAAGGUGGUGAACUUAAUACGUUCAUCAAUUGACGUUACUCGCAGAAGAAGCACCGGCUAACUCCGUGCCAGCAGCCGCGGUAAUACGGAGGGUGCAAGCGUUAAUCGGAAUUACUGGGCGUAAAGCGCACGCAGGCGGUUUGUUAAGUCAGAUGUGAAAUCCCCGGGCUCAACCUGGGAACUGCAUUUGAAACUGGCAAGCUAGAGUCUCGUAGAGGGGGGUAGAAUUCCAGGUGUAGCGGUGAAAUGCGUAGAGAUCUGGAGGAAUACCGGUGGCGAAGGCGGCCCCCCUGGACGAAGACUGACGCUCAGGUGCGAAAGCGUGGGAAGCAAACAGGAUUAGAUACCCUGGUAGUCCACGCUGUAAACGAUGUCGAUUUGGAGGUUGUGCCCUUGAGGCGUGGNUUCCGGAGCUAACGCGUUAAAUCGACCGCCUGGGGAGUACGG